rnacentral:rRNA from 1 species
UGGAUGAGUGGCGAACGGGUGAGUAACACGUGGGUAAUCUGCCCUGCACUCUGGGAUAAGCCUUGGAAACGGGGUCUAAUACCGGAUAGGACACGUGGCCGCAUGGUCUGCGUGUGGAAAGUUCCGGCGGUGCAGGUUGAGCCCGCGGCCUAUCAGCUUGUUGGUGGGGUGAUGGCCUACCAAGGCGACGACGGGUAGCCGGCCUGAGAGGGUGACCGGCCACACUGGGACUGAGACACGGCCCAGACUCCUACGGGAGGCAGCAGUGGGGAAUCUUGCGCAAUGGGCGAAAGCCUGACGCANCAACGCCGCGUGGGGGAUGACGGCCUNCGGGUUGUAACCUCUUUCGACAUCGACGAAGCCUNCGGGUGACGGUAGGUGUAAAAAAACCACCGGCUAACUACGUGCCAGCAGCCCNGNUAAUACGUANGGUGCGAGCGUUGUCCGGAAUUUUNGGGCGUAAAAANCUNUUAAGCGUUUUUCCCCUCCGCCCUGAAAAC